AAUUUAACAUUGUGUGGUCUUUUGGUUCGAUUCUAAGACAAAUCUUUGAUUAGAAAGGAUUAGUAUUUGAUAUGCAUUCCAUUCCAAAUUGGAGGUUUCUCUUAGAUUGAACAAAUGAUCCCACAAUGUUAGAUU
rnacentral:pre_miRNA from 1 species